CAGAGGUCCCGAGCGUUGUUCGGAGUUCACUGGGGCGUAAAGGGUGCGUAGGUGGUGAGGUAAGUCGGAUGUGAAAUCUCCGGGCUCAACCCGGGAAAUGGCAUUGGAAACUACCUUGCUGGAGGAUUUGAGGGGGGAUUGGAAUACUUGGUGUAGCAGUGAAAUGCGUAGAUAUCAAGUGGAACACCAGUGGCGAAGGCGAAUCCCUGGAAAAUACCUGACACUGAGGCACGAAAGCUAGGGGAGCAAACAGGAUUAGAUACCCUGGUAGUCCUAGCCCUAAACGGUGCUUGCUUGCUGUAAGAGGAAUCGACCCCUCUUGUGGCGGAGCUAACGCGUUAAGCAAGCCGCCUGGGAAGUACGGUCGCAAGAUUA
rnacentral:rRNA from 1 species